GACCGGGUAGCUCAGUUGGCAGAGCAUUGGGCUAGUAUUCCAAAGGUCGUAGGUUCGAUUCCCACCGUGGUCA
rnacentral:tRNA from 1 species